CCCUUAGAUGUUCUGGGCCGCACGCGCGCUACACUGACUACUUCAACGAGUUGUUUCCUUGAUCGAAAGGUCUGGGUAAUCUUUGAAAGGUAGUCGUGAUGGGGAUAGAUCCUUGCAAUUUUUGAUCUUCAACGAGGAAUUCCUAGUAAACGCAAGUCAUCAGCUUGCAUUGAUUACGUCCCUGCCCUUUGUACACACCGCCCGUCGCACCUACCGAUUGAAUGGUCCGGUGAAUCUUUAGGACUGUGGCUGAGGCCUUGCCUUGUGCGGGUCCGGCCGUGGGAAUUUAGUUAAACCUUACCAUUUAGAGGAAGGUGAAGUCGUAACA
rnacentral:rRNA from 1 species